GAACGGUGUCUUCGGACACAGUGGCGGACGGGUGAGUAACGCGUGAGAAUCUGCCUUUAGGUCUGGGACAACCACUGGAAACGGUGGCUAAUACCGGAUGUGCCCUUAGGGGUGAAAGGUUAACUGCCUGAAGAUGAGCUCGCGUCUGAUUAGCUAGUUGGUGUGGUAAGAGCGCACCAAGGCGACGAUCAGUAGCUGGUCUGAGAGGACGAUCAGCCACACUGGGACUGAGACACGGCCCAGACUCCUACGGGAGGCAGCAGUGGGGAAUUUUCCGCAAUGGGCGAAAGCCUGACGGAGCAAUACCGCGUGAGGGAGGAAGGCUCUUGGGUCGUAAACCUCUUUUCUCAGGGAAGAACACAAUGACGGUACCUGAGGAAUAAGCAUCGGCUAACUCCGUGCCAGCAGCCGCGGUAAUACGGAGGAUGCAAGCGUUAUCCGGAAUGAUUGGGCGUAAAGCGUCCGCAGGUGGCUAUGUAAGUCUGCUGUUAAAGAGUCUAGCUCAACUAGAUAAGAGCAGUGGAAACUACAAGGCUAGAGUGCGUUCGGGGCAGAGGGAAUUCCUGGUGUAGCGGUGAAAUGCGUAGAGAUCAGGAAGAACACCGGUGGCGAAGGCGCUCUGCUAGGCCGCAACUGACACUGAGGGACGAAAGCUAGGGGAGCGAAUGGGAUUAGAUACCCCAGUAGUCCUAGCCGUAAACGAUGGAUACUAGGCGUGGCUUGUAUCGACCCGAGCCGUGCCGUAGCUAACGCGUUAAGUAUCCCGCCUGGGGAGUACGCCGGCAACGGUGAAACUCAAAGGAAUUGACGGGGGCCCG
rnacentral:rRNA from 1 species